rnacentral:lncRNA from 1 species
AUGCCGCGGGUGACGGAGUUUACCCUGCACCAGCGAGCACCAAGGCUGGGGCCCGGUGAGAAGGGGCCCGGUGAGAAAGGGCCUUCGGGCGACAGGGGUGACGCGGAGCUCUACACAGACACAGGGAGCACAGCAGGGGAUGGAGCGCAGGAGCCCGGCCUGGCAGAUCACCUGCCGGCUCCAAGGCCGAGGGCCUGGACAGGACGUCUCGGAAGGGCAUGGAGGCUCGGGGGCUCGGGAAGGGGAGGAGACCGGAAGUCCAGGCGGGAAAGCUGGCGCCUCCCUCCCCGGGAGCAGCUGGAGAAGCGAGCCCAGCUCUGCCGGUCUCUGAAGGAGUGGGACCUGCGACGCAACCCCGGCGAAGUGGGCAGCAGCCUGGCGGAAGCCCGCGGUCCUCGCGCAUGGCGCCCUCCUGCUCCCGAGGCCCAGGCCCCGGCCCUGGGCCCCGCUGCCUUCCCUCUCCAGGCCCGGGGGGAGCAGGCUUCCCGCCGAGCGCAGACCUGUGGAGGUGAGGAAGUCCAGUCCCGGGAGCUGUCAUGGGGGAGCCCUGACGGGACCCCCAAGUUCCAGCGCAGCGAGGCUGCUCAGAGGGGUCAUCAUGUCUCAUCACUGGUUGUCCAAAUAGUGCAACCUGGAGAUCUAAUUAAGUGUAAAAGACAGUUCAGGACCAAAGUGAGCUCAAGUGUCCCCAGCCCCAGACUCUGCGGUGACUCUGCAGGUCUCUGCUUCCCUCUGAGUUCAGCUCAGAGCCUCAUCCGGGCUGCGGACUCCCUGCCAUCCCGCCUUGUCUCCCACCACCCUGCAAAGUGGCUCCGCAUUUCCAGUGCAGGCUCCAUUCACUCCAACCUCUGCUUUUCCUAAUCCCACCCCAGCCUCCCCUUCACCUCCCAACUCUGGGCCCCCUCUUCCUUACGCCCCAGCACUGAGUCUGGUUUUUCUGCAGCCCUGCCUGACGUCUCCAGCUGGCCGCAGCCCGUGGCCCCGUCUCUGAGGCAGCAGGGGCUAACAGCCCUGGGGCGGGUCGCUGAGGCCUGGACGCCUGCUGCUGUUUCCCAUGUUUUAGUCUUGCUCUCUUUGGAGCAUGUGGUUGAUGUUUUAAUAAAUAGCCGGUUGAAUGGUUGACCGAGGAAAAUAUAAAGACGAGGGCAUUAAGGGAAUCUCAGCCAGGCAGAGCUGACGCGUCUGUGCGUGCGUGCGUGCACACGUGUUUUUGCGAGCUCGCCCACCUCCUGGGGAGCCUUCCCACAUGCAUGCGCCUUCCUUUCUGUAGUCACCCCUGGCUCGAACAAUGGGUGCUCUGCUCUGCUCCGAGCCCCUGGAACGCGUGAGGCCUGCCUGCUGACUGCAGAGGCAGAGUGCAUCCUCCUCGGGCCCAGCGCCUUCUGAACCUAUUCCUGCCUCCCCCAAAGGAGCUGUUCCUGGCUCUGUGACUCACCCAGGCCAGCAGAGUGCAGGGAGGGAGAAGGAGCAGAGAGGAUUGCAGAGGGCUGGGGAUAACAGCACUUCCUGGGCCAACUCAGCCAUCACCAGAGUGUCUUUUAGAGAGCAGAACUGGCUGAUCCUUGUGCUGGGACACAGAGCUGGGCUGGCUUCCUACCCCGGUGCCUAGGGCACAGUCAGCAGCUGAUGAAAAUUUUACAGAAUUAGUUCAUCACAGGUGCGCUGGGGAAGGCUUCAAACAGGCAGAAAUUAGCUACCUCAGAGACGGGCUCCCUCACGUGCAAACACCCGUGGGCUUUGCAUGGCUGCCUCCGGCUGUGAUAAAGGCCAGCGUUGACACAGGAAGAGCUGAGCGGCCGGUCAGGGACGCUCCAUCCAGGAAACCUGGGAAGUUAACGCUAAUAUGCCCUAGUUUGUUGUCAAUACGAGUAAGAGUCAGCACUUAGUACUCACCAUGUACAGCAAUCACUAGCAGGUCAAACUUUUUAAAUUAUAAUGAAUCUCAAAGUUCUUUUCACUUCCGAGGGCCAAUCAGAUCCAAAUAAGCAUCUACAUGCCUGGCACAGUAGGACUGGGAGAAGAGGGAAGGAAAACAGGCAGAGUCCCUGCCCUUAAAGAACUCUGGAUUCAAGGAGGGAAACUGAAGUGGAAGCAAACUAGAUUUCAAGGCAGAAAAAGAUUAAGAACGAAGGAGAUUCAGCCUGGCAUGGUGGUGCAGCCUGAAAUCCCAGCACUCUGGGCGACUGAGGUAGGAGGAUCACAAGUUUGAUCUUACUAAACCAGCCUGGGAAACUUAGGCAGACUCUGACUCAAAAUAGAAAGGACGGGGCAUGUAGCUCUGUCCAAAGGCUCUGGGCUCACCCCAUACCACAAAAGGAA